CAGAUAAAUGAGUUCUGUGCCCACGAGUUCUGCCUGUUUUUGCCAGCUACCUUCCUCAGCACAGUGAUGAUCAAGUAGGACUCUUUGGCUUUCUCCCAAGGAAUAUCUCAGAUGAACCCUCCCGGGCGGCACAGCAGAGCUGCUGCAUCUGUGGCCAGAGCGGGGCCACCAUCACCUGCUGCGAAACAGACUGUGACCUGAGCUUCCACCUGCCCUGUGCCAAGUAGGGAGGCCGUGUCACCCAGUUCAUGGCACCGUACAGGUACCUCCUGUCCCCUCCACC